rnacentral:hammerhead_ribozyme from 1 species
AUCCAGCUGAUGAGUCCCAAAUAAGGCCAAACGCGCGUCCUGCAU